GAUGAACGCUGGCGGCGUGCCUAAUACAUGCAUGUCGAGCGAACAGACGAGGAGCUUGCUCCUCUGACGUUAGCGGCGGACGGGUGAGUAACACGUGGAUAACCUACCUAUAAGACUGGGAUAACUUCGGGAAACCGGAGCUAAUACCGGAUAAUAUAUUGAACCGCAUGGUUCAAUAGUGAAAGACGGUUUUGCUGUCACUUAUAGAUGGAUCCGCGCCGCAUUAGCUAGUUGGUAAGGUAACGGCUUACCAAGGCAACGAUGCGUAGCCGACCUGAGAGGGUGAUCGGCCACACUGGAACUGAGACACGGUCCAGACUCCUACGGGAGGCAGCAGUAGGGAAUCUUCCGCAAUGGGCGAAAGCCUGACGGAGCAACGCCGCGUGAGUGAUGAAGGUCUUCGGAUCGUAAAACUCUGUUAUUAGGGAAGAACAAAUGUGUAAGUAACUAUGCACGUCUUAACGGUACCUAAUCAGAAAGCCACGGCUAACUACGUG
rnacentral:rRNA from 1 species